GCGGUAAUACGGAGGGUGCGAGCGUUAAUCGGAAUAACUGGGCGUAAAGGGCACGCAGGCGGACUUUUAAGUGAGGUGUGAAAGCCCCGGGCUUAACCUGGGAAUUGCAUUUCAGACUGGGAGUCUAGAGUACUUUAGGGAGGGGUAGAAUUCCACGUGUAGCGGUGAAAUGCGUAGAGAUGUGGAGGAAUACCGAAGGCGAAGGCAGCCCCUUGGGAAUGUACUGACGCUCAUGUGCGAAAGCGUGGGGAGCAAACAGGAUUAGAUACCCUGGUAGUCCAUGCCGUAAACGUUGGGCACUAGGUGUGGGGAACAUUCCACGUUUUCCGCGCCGUAGCUAACGCAUUAAGUGCCCCGCCUGGGGAGUACGGCCGCAAGGCUAAAACUCAAAGAAAUUGACGGGGGCCCGCACAAGCGGCGGAGCAUGCGGAUUAAUUCGAUGCAACGCGAAGAACCUUACCAAGGCUUGACAU
rnacentral:rRNA from 1 species